rnacentral:lncRNA from 10 species
GGCUACUUGAAAGGGGCUCUGCUUAAUGCAGCAGAAAUUUUCAGAUGAUUCAUUCUGGAGCCACUGAUCAAAAGUACAGCUACUGGGAACAGAAAAAUGGAUGUUCAGAGAGAACAACAAACAUGCCUCAAGAUACACAGCUAGUAUGUGGUAGUGACAAGAAUCUAGCACAAGCAGUCUGAUUUCAGGGAGCAAAUGAAAAGACAUGAAGGUGUUUCAUAAUGGAGAUAUGGGAUGGAUGAGAAACUUGGAGCUCAGAGACAUCCGUUAACUUAAAGUGGCUGAAGGGGGACUCCAAUCAGGGCAACCCACCUUAGAGUCCUCUGCUGUCCACCACUGAGCUGGGAAAUGAAGACUCUGCACAUAGCAUUUCAUCUGGCUGAUCCUUGGAGUCCCAGUCUAAGCAGGGCAGAAUAUAUGACUGAAGUGAACUCCACUCGACCUUCAAAUCCAACCCCUCCGAAGAGAAUAUUCCAAGAAUCAAGCAAAACCUGGGAGGUCAAGGAUGUUUCAUCUGCGUUUCCCCAUUCUCUUAGAUUGUCUCUUCUUUCCUCAAGUCUCAUAGAAUCUGAGAGUUAGAAGGUUCUCAAAGGUCAUCUCAAGCACAAUGCUUUGUGAAAUUUGAAGUCCAGCUACAAUAUGCCCAAUAAGCAUUUAUCCAGACUCAAGAGUCCCCAUUGCUGGAGAAUUGGAAUUUAAUAAUACCAAACAUAGCCCAAUCCAUUUUGGAACAAAUCUACUUGUGAGGAAGUUAUUUUAUUGUUGUUUGUUUUACAGCAUGCUGUAGGUGGUCUCUUUGAAUUCCAUCUAAAUACAACUUUUUGUAGUACAGUACUGCAAAUCAUCUAUUCUAAAGAUGCAUAUGUGUUUACACUGUAUCUGUGAACAUUCAUAACAAUUGAAGACACUUCUGAUUGUGCUUGGCUGGGCAGCAGACACGACGUUGUUGCUUAUGCAUGUGUGAGACAGGCUGUUUCAGGUAGUGUGAUAAAAAUUCUCUCAAUAUUUCAGUCAAACUAUUUAAGAGUCUUUGGAAUAAGGAAUAUAAGCCUUCUAUGUCUUAAAAAAAAUUUAUGGAGAUUUUUUGAAAAUCAUGAAAGCACCAGAUUCAAAACAUUCAGAAGGCAUCUUGGAAGAAAAAAAAAAUCUCAGGAGACAAUAGUGGAGGACUCUAAACAAAGUUGUAUUACAGUAUUCUUAAGAGUAAAAUCAAUGGGACGAUAGAGCAAAACUGCUCAACUAAUAUACCUAAUUCAUAGAAUGUAAUAGCUAUUUAGGAAAUGAAACAUUUAUUGUUGAUUUAUGAUGUGCUACUAACUCUGCUAAGCCCUUUCCAUAUUUUAUUCUACUUGAUCCACCCCAAGACCUAAUGAGGUAGUUAGCACAGGGCCACUAUCCCUUAUCCAAAACUUUUAGGCCAAAUUUUGAAAUUCAUAACUAUUUUUAUUAUUUAAGAAUAUAUAGUAUAUGUAUUGUAUCUUGUUUAACCCCACCAGCAGGGUCUGGGAUAGCAUGCUGUAAUCAAACACAUUAAUAUUUUGCAACAAAAUAUGUGCAUAUUCACAGACUGUGGGAUAAAGAAAUAUCAUAGUAAGUCUCCAGUCUCCCGUCUCAUGCCAGUUUAGGUCAAAGAUGAGUUUGUGAUGGGCUUAUGAAAAUGUUUUCUGUUCUCAGGUAUUUGGGGAUUUUAGAUAUGCAAAUUAGUGGUUUGGAAUUUGUAUUAGUGUCUCCAUUUUGCUAAUAAACAAAGUGAGGCUUUGUAAGUAGUUCCCCCUGACGCACACAGCUCAGAGUGUGGAGUUGGGUCUGAGACAAUCAAGGUCUUAACAACGAUGCUUGGCUGCCUCAGUGAAGCAUCCAUCUGCCAGGAGGUUGGGGGUCACUGCCAUGGGCCCUGAGUCUUCUCUUCUUUAGACUGAUCACUUGCCCAUAACUAUCUCUAGACUUCUUGCCACAAUGGCUCUCCUUUGAACACCCCAUGGUUUCUCACUUCUUAAACCACUGUAAGUAUGAAGUCUCCAUGAGGGGAGACUUAACUAACUGCUAAUAGAAGAACAGAAAGAACAGAAAGGUGUGUGGAGUUCCACGCUCCAACAGCAUCUACCACUUGCUCAAUGAAGUUUUUCAAAAAUAAAAAUAUUUUCUAAGCAGAUGAUGUGGCUCUUUUAUCGUGCUCAUCAUUUUAGAGAGAAAAAGAUCAAAGAUAGAGCCACCAUAGGUUCCAAACCCAAGGUUUGGGAAACUCCAUUCCAGUUCUAUUAAAAUUGCAGCUUUUUCAUAUAAAUUUCCCUGGAGAAGAAAUAUCAUAGGAGUUUUAAUAAUAAUAAAGUACAGGUUCUGUAGCCAACUCAUCUGGUUUGAAUCUCGUUCUGACACUUCCUAGCUGUGUAAUCUUAAGCAAAUUACUUAACCUCUCUGUGCCUCUGUUUUUCUAACAAAUGGGGGCAAUGAUAUGACCUACCUUUGAG